CAGGCCUACGACUGCCGCACCUACGACUGCCAGGCCUGCAACUGCUGCACCUGCAACUGUAGCAGUCACAAAAAUCAGGACAACUUUCAGAUCUCUUCUAGACACAUUUACAAAUGACUUGAAUGAUCCAUCAUCUGCAUCUUUUAGAAUUCGAUCUGCAAUGAUAAAAGCACAGCUUCAACCUAUCUUCCAAGAGGCAUUCCCAUCCUCCUUCCAGUCCUUGGAUGUAGUUUCAUUCAGAAAUGGAUCAAUCAUAACUGAAAUGGACCUUAACUUUGCAAGGACAUCUGUUCCUACCAACACUCAGAUUCGUAAUGUUUUGAUCAAUGCAUCUUCAAUCGUCACCGGCUUCGACAUUGAAGGCAGCUCCAUC